rnacentral:rRNA from 1 species
UACGGAGGGGACUAGCGUUGUUCGGAAUUACUGGGCGUAAAGCGCACGUAGGCUGAUUUGUAAGUCCGCUGUGAAAUCUCGAGGCUCAACUUCGAGCUGUCGGUGGAAACUGUCUGGCUAGAGUCCGGAAGAGGAGAAUGGAAUUCCUGGUGUAGCGGUGAAAUGCGCAGAUAUCAGGAAGAACACCCGUGGCGAAGGCGGUUCUCUGGGACGGUACUGACGCUGAGACGCGAAAGCGUGGGGAGCGAACAGG